GGAUGCUUUGGGGUCCCCUCAGGGUCUCUCCUUGGCGCUGGGGUCACUGCUGGAGCUGCAGCAGAAGGUGCUGAGCGGGACCCUGCGCAAUGGACUCGUGCUGGUGCGCCCCCCCCAGCACUCAGGCUUCAGCCCCAUCAGUGCCGCAGCUCGAGCAGCCCAGAGACAUGGCCUGGAGCGGAUCCUCGUUGUGGAUUGGAGCCCCCAGUCCGGCCGUGCCCCCCCCAGCCUCGGCCAGGAGAGCCCCGGGUGAGCACUGGGAGGAACUGGGAUACACUGGGAUGCACUGGGACCCAUUGGGAUCCAUUGGGAUGCUCCAUUCCCUGCAGGCUCCUCUAUUUCGGGAUGCACCAGGGCAGGGACCCCCCCCCGCCUCCAGCUCCGGCCCCAGCGAAGGCUUCACCGUGGAGCUGCAAUGGGACGAGGUUGGAUGUGGGGCUAUGGGGCAUGUGGGGGCUAUGGGGGGUAUAGGAGCUAUGGGGGGUAUGAGGCCUAUGGGGUCUAUAGGGAGUGUGGGAUCUACAGGGGACUAUGGGGGGGCUCUGGGCUGGGGGUUCCAGGCAGUGUCCUGGGUGUUCUAUGGGUCGCUAUGGGGUCCAUAGGGUCCCUAUAGGCUCUGCUGUGCCCUAUAGCCUGGCGCGAUGGACGGGGACUACGCAGCCGCCUUCUUCCACCUCCUGCUGCCCAUUGCCUUUGAGGUCAGGGGGGCCUAUGGUGCUCUAUGGGGCCCUAUGGGUGCUCUAUGGGGUUUUAUGGGGCUCUAUGGGGCCCUAUGGGGCUCUAUGGGGCUCGAUGGGCCCCAUAGCCUCUGUCUCUGCAGUUCCAGCCCCAGCUCGUGCUGGUGGCCGCCAGCUUCGACAUCGCCAGCGAGGACCCCAAGGUACCUACAGGGGUCAAUGGGACCCUAUGGGGGGGACAUCCCAACACCCCCCCCCUUUGGUGGGGUUGGGGGUGCUUGGGUGCUAUGGAGCUCUACAGGCACUAUAGGGUUCUAUAGGUGCU
rnacentral:lncRNA from 14 species